GAAAUACUUCAGAUACAGCCCAGUUCAAAACUCCUCCCUGUCUCUCACCUUCCUCAACAAACCCUAGCGCCGCCCUCAAUCUCUUCGCCAUUUCCGGCCGGCGGCGGAGCUCAAAUACCACCAAAAUCAAGCCAUGCAACCAUCACCCUUCCCUCAGCCCCAAUCCACCACCAUUUUUCCCCAAAUCCUCACCAAAUCAGGUCAGAUUCAAAUCUAAAAACGAAGAGAAGAAAUCUGGCAAGCUGUCAAGUUUUCUACGAACGAUGCGGCUUGAAACUAGUAUUGUUUGUCUGUUCUCAAAGAGAACAUGUGGGUAAUACCAGUUUCGGGUCAAGUCGAAGUCGCCUGAGGUUGCCAAGUUUUGUCCGUGCGGUUACCUAGGUACGCCUUGGAUCUCUUGUCAUGUGAAGUGAAAGUGUGAAUCCCUGUAAUUCAAGUUGAAGAAAAUGAUCGACACUAAUGUUCUGCUGCUUGUUCAAUUUGAAUUUGAUUUUUUGGUUCAUCUUAGUAUAGCUCUUUUGUGCAUUUCAUUUUAUUUUAAGGUUUAGACUUGGAUUUAUUGGGAUGUAUCCGAUUUGAGAUUGUUUUAGACUCUAUAAUGUGUAAUAAUUAUGGACUGUGAUUGGUAAUUCAGCUGGCUGAAACUGUUUGGUUUUUUUGUGAUUUCAUAAGGUCAAAUUCAUGUCAACUCCGAUCAUAAGCUUACUGAA